GGUCAUCUAAAGCAUAAAGAUAAAAAGGGAAAAAAUACACACAUAUAUUACGCAGGAUUCAUUGAGAAAAAGACCAAAGCAGCUUCUAAACGACUAAGAGCUUCACAAACGCUAUCAUGAUCCGAAGUUCAGUGAAAACUGUCUUUUAAUGUUCAGUCCUUCAUCCUGAAGAAUAACUAAAAUUAAGUAGUUUAUAUAUACAUCCACUCUAAAAAUGUCACAAUUGUUAAGUCACAAAAACUUUAUAAAUAGGGCACAAGUAGAAAAUUACCAAUGAAAAGAUAACAUAAGGUGGAUACACACUUGCUCCUUUUGAUAAAGAAAAAUAUUGAGGUUUUAAUACUAAGGGAUAAACUUAGAUAUAUCAGAAUUAAUCAAAUUGUGAAAAAAAAUACACAUUUUAAAUGUAGAUUAUUUAUCCAAGAAAUAUUUACUGAGAACCAUCUUCGUGCCAUGCAGUUUGCUAAGUGAUGGGGCUUAAACAGUGACCAGGAUAAAUAAACAAGGCCCCUGCCCGCAGGGGCUACGAGCCUAAUGGGAUAUGGACAAGCGCAAAAGUGUGAUAAUACUAGGAUGGGAGAACUAAACGGCAGUUAAAUAAAUAAUCAAAGGAGGGAAGGACACCGAACUUACAGAGGGUGACGGAAAGGCCUUUACGAAAAAGCCACAUCUAGCUGAGCCCAGAAGGACGCUUUAGCUAAGUUCAGAGGAAGACAAGCAUUCCAGGCACAGCAAAAGGCACGUGUGAAGAGCCGUGAGAAAGAGCAAUGCCGCAACAGGGACUUGAGGAAUGAUGAAACUGAUGAGAGAGGUCAGCAUGACAGUGGAGGUAAAUGGGGUCCAGCUCACACUGGGUCACGUGAGGAGUUUAGUGACUUCACCCUUGAUUAAUGGGGAGCCACUGAAGAUUUUUCAUCAGAAAGAAUAACAUGAUCAGAUUUGCAUUUAAAAUGUCACUAGAGGCCCCAGCCCAGUGAUAUACCAGGUUGCAAAUGGAAGGAGCAAAGGAGCAGAGAGGCUUGACUCUUCUAUCUGUGCAGAAAAGGAUGGAAAGGACCACUUGGAAAAUCCAGGGAUGGAGAGUGGGACGAGAAAAAGAAGAGGGAGCAAGGCCAAAGAGGAAGGUAAUGGGAGAAAAGAAAGAUGAGACUGCUGCCUAAGGAAGAGGGCCGACUGUCCCAGGAAGGCUUUGAACUGGAGUUUUAUGUUAUGUGCCAUAUAACCCCUUCCUCCACCACCCAUGGUUUGUCUAAUGUCUCCCGGACUGGGCUGGUGUUUUGGCUGUGUUUUUAAAUAAGACAAUAUGCCGAAGCAGGCUUUGGACAGGAGCAGAAAAACAGAGCUUUAUUUUUUAGGUUCCACAGGAGAGACGAGAGAUGACACACCCAAAAAGGCUAGCCGGGAGGUGUCAGAGGCACCAGUGGAAGGUCUCACUCUUUACUGCCACGGAAGGGAGAAGAGCCGUGACCGGCACAGGUGCAGUUAAGUCUGUAUGAUUCACGGCAAGAAACUGAGCAAGUUCUUGUUUAGUGGUUUGUUUUUCUCUCUGUAGAAGGGACAAGAGAAGGCUACCGGCUGAGGAAUAGCUUCUCCUACAAAUAAGGAGGGGAUUGAUAACUGUGGCUUUACUGCAAAAGAAAGAAGAGGUGAUGCAAAGCUGCAGUGAAACGGGAGUCGUGUGCAUUUGAAGGAACAGCAACGACAAGCAGCUGAAAUGACCAGGCCACAGAAUAUUUAAGCUCAAAUGCAGGAUAUUAUCCGGUGCUCCUGCAGAAGUGGAGGACAGACUUUAGUAGCUGCUUUUCAAAGAGCUAACAGCUUGCAUAAGCCAGUAAAGCAGGCGCACGGUUAGUUACAACAGCUGUUUUCCCCUUCUUUAUCAAGCAGCAAGUUCUCCUUGCCUACUCAGCAGGACAAAAAUCCUCAAAGAUAAAAUCAAGGCAAAACAGAUACAAAGCAAAAUCCAACCCCCCACACCAAAACAAGGAUACAUUUGUAAACUCCAGAGAAAAAAUAUCAACCGUACAACAAUCUCCUAAUCAGACGAGAUUAUUCAAGCAACCUACCUACCUCAAAAUAUAUUUCCAAGGGUGAAGACUAUCAUUUUAUGGGUAAUGUAAUUCAAAGAUGAAUGAAAAAGUGAUUCAGAAUGAAUGCAAGAAAAAAAAAUGAAUGCAUCAAACAAUGCACUAAACAAGACUGACAAAUCUUUUGCAAAAUUGUAACACUGUAUUCUCUGUAUUAAGCCGUAAACAAAGGGCUACAAUGACCUUCAACACAGGCCUCUCUGUUGGGCAGGUCAGGGUCAUGCUGAAAGCUUGACCCACUCCUCCAACUCAAAGGCUAGUUCUUCGAGAAUGAAGGAAGGGGUGCUUUAGGCUAAGGGCAGCAAGUAAAUGUGGGUCACAGAAGGCAGCAUCUCUGAGGAAUGGAAGUGCCCAAGUCCAAGUCCAAGAUCCACAGCUCACCUUAGCUGAAGAGGAAGAGUCAUAUGUUGAAAAAUGCUAUUUUUUUCUAUGAUAGAAGAUUAAACAAUGUAGUGUUUCAUCAGAAUGUA